UAGGGAAUCUUCGGCAAUGGACGAAAGUCUGACCGAGCAACGCCGCGUGAGUGAAGAAGGCUUUCGGAUCGUAAAACUCUGUUGUUAGAGAAGAACAAGGACGUUAGUAACUGAACGUCCCCUGACGGUAUCUAACCAGAAAGCCACGGCUAACUACGUGCCAGCAGCCGCGGUAAUACGUAGGUGGCAAGCGUUGUCCGGAUUUAUUGGGCGUAAAGCGAGCGCAGGCGGUUUCUUAAGUCUGAUGUGAAAGCCCCCGGCUCAACCGGGGAGGGUAAUUGGAAACUGGGAAGCUUGAGUGCAGAAGAGGGGAGUGGAAUUGCAUGUGUAGCAGUGAAAUGCGUAGAUAUAUGGAGGAAAACCGGUGGCGAAGGCGGCUCUCUGGUCUGUAACUGACGCUGAGGCUCGAAAGCGUAGGGAGCAAACAGG
rnacentral:rRNA from 1 species